rnacentral:rRNA from 1 species
GGUCUUGACAUCCCGUUGACCACUGUAAGAUAUGGUUUCCCCUUCGGGGGCAACGGUGACAGGUGGUGCAUGGUUGUCGUCAGCUCGUGUCGKGAGAUGUUGGGUUAAGUCCCGCAACGAGCGCAACCCUUGAUCUUAGUUGCCAUCAUUUAGUUGGGCACUCUAAGGUGACUGCCGGUGACAAACCGGAGGAAGGKGGGGAUGACGUCAAAUCAUCAUGCCCCUUAUGACCUGGGCUACACACGUGCUACAAUGGACRAUACAAACGGUUGCCAACUCGSGAGAGGGAGCUAAUCCGAUAAAGUCGUUCUCAGUUCGGAUUGUAGGCUGCMMCUCGCCUACAUGAAGCCGGAAUCGCUAGUAAUCGCGGAUCAGCAUGCCGCGGUGAA